CAGGGCCAGACAUCUGGGGAGCAGUGACAGCAGUGAGGUUCAGGAGUUGAAGCAAAACGUUCUUUAAAGCAGGGAAAUGGAAAGUGUUACAAAUGGAGAAGCACAGCCCCUUUGAAGUGCCCUUGAGGGUGGCAUACAGUCUGGUAUAACCAAAGAAAGAUGGAGUGCAAAUCGAAUUGGGAUGCCAGAUCCUUUUCUGCCUCCUGGCCAGUAGGGCUGAAAUUCCUCCUUAUGUCUGGGAAAAGUGGGAAACCUGGCUGACUGCCAGCCUGCAGAUUAGGGCUGCUGAGAUGCUGUCAGCA